rnacentral:rRNA from 1 species
UACGUAGGUGGCAAGCGUUAUCCGGAAUUAUUGGGCGUAAAGCGCGCGUAGGCGGUUUUUAAGUCUGAUGUGAAAGCCCACGGCUCAACCGUGGAGGGUCAUUGGAACUGGAAAACUUGAGUGCAGAAGAGGAAGUGGAAUUCCAUGUGUAGCGGUGAAUGCGCAGAGAUAUGGAGGAACACCAGUGGCGAAGGCGACUUUCUGGUCUGUAACUGACGCUGAUGUGCGAAAGCGUGGGAUCAACAGGAUUAGAUACCCUGUAGUCC